AGGCGUGUGAUAGAAAUGGGCGAUAGCAAGCUGCUAGCGCAUUUUGAGAAGGAGGAUACCGGAUCCAUCGAUGCUUGUCUUUUUAAAGACUCAAUUUGAUAUUUAUUUCCUUUAUACCUGCUGAUCUAUUCCUUUUAACGAUGGUUUCUCACUCGCUCGCGCUGCCGAUGAUCUGUUUUACAACGUUAUGGGCGCUUGUGGGAAUCGUAGCACCCUUUUUCGUUCCUAAAGGACCAAACCGAGGGGUUGUCAUCACUAGUCUGAUUUUGACUGCUGUCUGCUGCUGGUUAUUCUGGCUGAUUGCGAUUCUGGCCCAGGCCAACCCUUUGUUUGGACCUCAGCUGAAGAACGAGACCAUCUGGUACCUUCGGUACUUCUGGGAAUAAUACCAGGUAGUGUUCCUCCGGGAUAGCGAACCGCCAGAGUGAACGUCAGUCGCUGAGGGUAACACCCUCUGUGGUGACAUCGUAAGAUCUCCAUUCCCUCCAUCCAUCCUGGACUGGGUUCCUCAACACUAUUCCAUUCCUCCACCCCAACAUCUUUGUUACGUCACAGCAACGUUCUCAGUGUUGUGCAUUGCCGUAGAAGCCACCUGCAUUUAACGCGGAUGUUGGAGAAUCUUCAACAGUCAUGUUGUUUUUAUGUUGGGAUUCAAUCUGUGACAAUAACUAAUGCAUAAUACUACUUCGGUAGAAAAGUAGUUGUAACACUAAAUAACAUUAUGUAAGGAUUAUAUUGUAUAGCGCUAUGUAAGGAUUAUUGUAUAGAGCUAUGGUAAGGAUUAUAUUAUAUAACACUAUGUAAGGAUUAUAUUAUAUAGCGCUAUGUAAGGAUUAUUGUAUAGAGCUAUGGUAAGGAUUAUAUUAUAUAACGCUAUGUAAGGAUUAUAUUAUAUAGCGCUAUGUAAGGAUUAUUUGACAUAGCGCUAUGUAAGAAUUAUAUUGAACUUGUGCAGUAUGUCAUAAGGGUAGCGGGUUCAUUUCAAUUGAAGGUAGUUCAUUCAGGAAGACACUAUUUUAUGGUUUUAUUUGUACAACAUUCUAUUUAUUGUACUGCAGAUAUGAAAGGUGUAUAAAACUCGAAAUACAUAAUACAGUUUUACGUUAUCCUUAAGUAUUUUAUUAUUUUUGUGGAAAACAAUGUUUGUAUAAUGCACUGGAAGGUAUUAGCUGAAACAGACAAUGUUCACUGGAAAGCCCAUAGAUGACCCUCCCACACUUUUGGCUACAGUGAAAAAGUGUUGAGAUUUACUUUAACUGAUUUUUUUUUUAAUUAUGUUUACUGUACAUGGUGUUGUUACAAUUACGUAAAGAGUUGUUAUUGUUAUUAGAAAGUGUUAAUUCAAUUUCUGUAUUUAUUUUAACUGACGUCCUGGCUCUUAAACUGGUUGACUGUUACAUUAUGAUGUCAGUGACUGCGUAUUUUCAUUGAGUAAUGCUUUGUGUAAAUGCUCGUUCUUCAUCUGGCGUAAUUGGCUGGCCUGCGGCCAUGGAAAGCACGCUACAAUCCAGGGCCCCUCUCCAUUUUCAAGUUCCUCUCCUGGAUGGCCGUGGUCCUCCUAGGCUAAAAAUAUGUCGGUAGCUUUCUUUUAAUUCCCAUGUUGAAGAACCUGGUUGGAGGAUCCCUACUGAUUUCAGGAAUCCUUGGUGUUACCAUGGUAAUCACAGCGAGUAUCCGCGUGGGUCGUUGACCACAGCGCUAAUACCCUUUUCCGCUCGGAUGAGAGUCAAUUCCAUUUCGGCAUCUAACUCUCGUGAAUUCGGGAACUCAAGUGAAAACCAACGGCUUUGGAAAGGCACAGAAAUGCUGGCUGCUGUAUAGACCCCCCCUCUCAUGUAAACAAUGUGUGUUUCUUUUUGUAGGAAGGCACCUUAGCUCCAGCCAUCACAACCUGCUCUGCCAGCCCCCCCCCCCCCCCCACCCCCCUUAGAGAGAAGCCAUCUUAGCACGAGUGCCAGUAUUUUGUUUGUGCUGUCAAGGCAAGUCUUUGUCAUUCGCUGUCUUACAGAAUGUAGUUCCAGCAUUGUUGGGAAGUUGGAAAGGGCACAAACAAAUGUGGAACCAGGCCAGGGUCACCUGUCUCUGAGGAGGCUUUUUCCUCAGCUCUGCCAAAAAAAAGUUCAGAAAGAAAAAUCUAAAUACAGCUACUUUUGAGAAAGACCAAAUUAUGUUGUACUUUCCUUUAAGCCAUCUUGAUUGUUGUGGUGGCGUGGCGGUUUGCAUGGCAGAGGGGUCGACGGCAAUUGAAAAAACCUAAGCUUGGGCUUCAACUCGAAAAAACGACUAAUUCCUUGUGGUCACCAUGGAAACAUUGAGCAUGUACUGUAUAUGGGGGGUGUUGGUGAUACUGGGGGGGAAAAGCAGCCGAUUUAUACAUGGCUUUGGGGAAAGUGACCCAGGUUGUGUGUGUGAUGUUAUGUGUAGGUGUGUGCUGUGACAUUGUCCACUGUUCUGAAUCCCACAGUAAAACUGUUUAAAUGUCUGGAA